ACCUUCCUAGUAUAAAAGUACAAGCGGCUUCCAACCGCUUAGACCUAGCACACUCUAGGGGAAGGUA
rnacentral:tRNA from 1 species